rnacentral:lncRNA from 1 species
ACCGUAUUUCAAAUUAGUGCAACAAAUAUUGAAAUUGUUAACCAAUACUAUAAGAGAAGUUGGCUCAAGUUCCUCAUUUUCUUCAAAACUAAAAAGGCCAUAAAUUUUUACCUGUGAAAGAAGAAAAGGACCGAUGAACAAUUCGAAGCUGUUGUGGCCGGAGAGCAAGGUUGUCACGUCGAUUGAAGUUGAAAAAGAACUGGAAUCCCAACUAUUUGUAGUCGGAUGUUGAAGUCGCCAAGGAUUGAAAUAAGAAAUUUGCAGAACAGUU